rnacentral:tRNA from 1 species
AUAAAAUGUCGGAAAAACGAGUAGUUUUGAUAAAACUAAACAUUAAAUAGUUAUUAUUUAUUUUAUUAU